rnacentral:rRNA from 1 species
UACGUAGGUGGCAAGCGUUGUCCGGAUUUACUGGGCGUAAAGAGCGCGUAGGCGGUCUGAUAAGUCCUGUGUGAAAGCCCCCGGCUUAACCGGGGAAUUGCACAGGAUACUGUCAGGCUAGAGUGCAGGAGGGGAGAGCGGAAUUCCUGGUGGAGCGGUGAAAUGCGUAGAUAUCAGGAGGAACACCGGUGGCGAAGGCGGGUCUCUGGGCCGAUACUGACGCUGAGGAGCGAAAGCGUGGGGAGCGAACAGG